GGUGCUGGGGGUAGCAACAGCUAACAAGCUUCCAGCACCAGGCCCUCUUCUCUUCUGUGGUGUGUCAGAGGGCCCCACCCAGGCUGUUCACCAUUUUUUUUUUUUUGAGACAGAGUCUUGCUCUGUCACUCAGGCUGGAGUGCUGUGCUGUGACCAUAGGUCACAUCAGCCCUGAACUCCUGCGCUCCGGCAGUCCUUCCACCUUGGCCUCCCAAAGUGCUGGGAUUGCAGGUGUGAGCCACUAUGCCUGGCCUUACCUUUUAAUGCUAAGGUUUUCUAAUUUCCUUCUGUGCCUUGUUGUUUUUCAGAUUUUAACAAUCAGACUCAGGUCAACAGUGGUUGAGAUAAUGGCCCAUAAUUGGCUCCAGAAUGCAAACGUGGCAUUUCUCCAGGAUUCCAUUAGCUCAGAAUGACAAGUCCUGCAGAUGAGGACUACUUCCUGCACGAUGACCACAGCGGCUAAGAGGCUGAGGCAGGAGAACCGCUUGAACCCAGAAGGUGGAGACUGUGGUGAGCGGAGAUUGUGCUGUUGCAUUCCAGCCUGGGCGGCAGAGCAAAAGUCUGCCUCAAAUAAAUACAUAAAUAAAUGUCCUCUGUGCUGUCUCUGUGGAGGAUCAAGAGUGGUGGGACCAGUGGGGGAACAGGAGACAGUGAGGAGGCCAGGCCCACAGGCCAGUGGAGGCCUCUUGGACAAAGGGGAUGGGGAAGGAGGUGAAAAGGGGCUGGAUCCCGAUGUAGUCUGCAGGUGGAGUCCCACAGGAUUUUCCAACACAUGGGAAGAGGGGUGUCAGAAGCAUUGGUCAAGAACGUCCUCUUGGGUGUUUGGCAUGAGCCAUGAGAAGAAUGGAAUGACCAUUUCCUAAGCUGGAGAAGACUCGGGAAGGGUAAGGUUUGGGGAGGAAAUCAAAGAGUUUGACUUGUUGCUCUGCUAGGUGCUGCGGAUUUCAUGGUAAACAAGAAAGACACAGUCACUGCCCUCGUGGAGUUGACAGUCCAGGAGAGGCAGCUAUUUUAUUAUUCUUUUUUAGAGACAGGGUCUUGCUCUGUCUCACAGGCUAGAGUGCAGUGGUGUGAUCAUGGCUCAUUGUUACCUCAAACUCCUGGGCUCAAGUGAUCCUCCUGCCUCAGCCUCCUAAGCAGUUCGGAGUAUAAGCACACCCUACCGCACCCGGUUAAUUACAAAAAUUUUGUGUGUGGAAAUGGGGUCUCGCUAUGUUGCCCAGGCUGGUCUUAAACUCCUGGCCUCAAGCAAUCCUCCCACCUCGGCCUUCCAGAGUGUUGGCAUUACAGGCAUGAGCCACCGCGCCUGGCCCUGAGAGGCAGUUAUUGAGCAAACACUAACACAUGUGACUAUAAUUCGACAUUGUGUCAGUGCUGUGAAGGGAAAGGGGGCAUUAGAGAGGAUUGGGGCAGAAGCCCUGUUUCCAUGAGGAUCAGGAAAGGCCUCUCUGUGGAUGUAAUGGCUAAGCUGACCUGAAGUAUCAACAGGUGUUAGCCGGGUAAAGAGGGCAGCAGGGAGCCUUCCCAAACUCUGGGCAGGGAAGAGGUUGGCACCUUAGACAGAUCUGCCUUGCUGGAGGGAGUACAGGGGAGAAGGAGGGAGAGAGCCGGUAAGGGCUACAGGCCCGGCCUCCACCCUCCCUUCCUCCUCCUGUUCCUCCCCUGGUAGCUCCCAGGCUCCUUGGAGCUCAGGGGAAAGUGUGGCUCUCUCUUGCCCAGGGUCUUAUGGAUGGAUCAGGAAUGAGGAGGCUUUCCUAUCUGCAGCCUUACCCGGCCAUAACAGGGAGGGUCCUUUCGGGGGAUUGAGGAGGCUGUGCCCAUCCAGGCCUGGCUUCCCAUCUGGUUUCAGGGCUCCUGGGGGCAUGGUCUGUAACCUGUUCCAGGCCCAUGCAAGGGGCUGCUCCAUCACCAGCCUUUUUUCCCCAGAGGCAGCCAAGAUGAUGAGUCCCUGCCGCAGGCCAGCACCCCUUUCCCUGAGCCCCAUGGUGUUAGACAUUCAGGUCUCAGAAAGGUGGAGGCAGCUCUAGCCAAGAGAAGGGUGUGUGUGAGCAUGGGGGGUGGGCUAGGGAGAGGGGGCGACAGAGGGGCAAGAAGGGGUUACGAGGCCAGCAUUUUUGUAUGGGUGUGUGGAUGUGUGGCUUUCACGCUGUAGAAAAUAAAAUAUAGAGGAUGAGGGGGAGGCAGUAAGGCCCGUCACGUGCAGUGUCUGGUUUAACCCUCACACCAUGCCAUAUGUGGCUACUGCCUUUCACAGAUGAGGCACUCAGAGAGGAUGUGUGCAUGUGUGUGUGUGUGCGUGCAUGCACAUGUUGGGGUGGGGAGAGAGGGUGUGUGCAUGCGGAGAGAGGGUGUGUGCAUGUGUGUGUGCAUGCGUGCAUGCACGUGUUGGGGUGGGGAGAGAGGGUAUGUGCGUGUGUGCCUGCGUGCGUGCACAUGUGUCAGGGUGGGGGCUUCAUUUGGUCUCGCUUCUUUCUGUGAUGGAAUGGGGUCACUUGAUGGAGAAGCUGGGGUGAGCCUGGGCUCCCCGAUGGCUGCUGCUCCCUGAUGACCCUGCUCAUGCUCCCUGCUGCGGUGCCCUGCGGUGGGUGAGUGUUGGCAGGUGCGGAUCUCUGCUCCGCUGACCCAUCUGCACCCCCAUGCCCCGCAGGAGGCCUGAACCGCCAUGGAAGGGAACCGGAGAGGAGCGCAGAGCCGGCUGGUGGAGAAAGUCGCAGGCGUUCUUCCAGGCAGGAGGAGGGGAGAUGCUCCCGGGGAAACCAGUAGAGGAAGGCAGCCACACAGCCAAGGGAGAGAUGGGCUGGCCGGGGUUCCAGGCCCUGCACAGCGGCUCUCUCUGCACGAUGGUGUCUGGGGACCCUGGAGGAUCAGCUGCAGUUCUGUGAGCUGGUGGCCCAGCUGCUCACCCCUCCCUAGAGCCCUUGCCCCUCCCAGCUGAGGAGCGCUGCUGUCAGAGGCCGCUCCUGCAAAUGUCUGGCUUUAUCCUCCCCACACAUUGAAGCCAUCAGGCCUCGGCCCUGCGACUGCAGCUUGCCUAGCUCCGUGGGUCAGAGACAA